GUAGGUGGCAAGCGUUGUCCGGAAUUAUUGGGCGUAAAGCGCGCGCAGGUGGUUCGUUUAAGUCUGAUGUGAAAGACCCCCGGGCUCAACCGGGGAGGGUCAUUGGAAACUGGGGAACUUGAGUGCAGGAGAGGAAAGUGGAAUUCCACGUGUAGCGGUGAAAUGCGUAGAUAUGUGGAGGAACACCAGUGGCGAAGGCGACUUUCUGGCCUGUAACUGACACUGAGGCGCGAAAGCGUGGGGAGCAAACAGGAUUAGAUACCCUGGUAGUCCACGCCGUAAACGAUGAGCGCUAAGUGUUGGGGGGGUUUCCGCCCCUCAGUGCUGCAGCUAACGCAUUAAGCACUCCGCCUGGGGAGUACGGUCGCAAAGACUG
rnacentral:rRNA from 1 species